rnacentral:rRNA from 1 species
UCGAGAGGCUUCGGCAAUGGGGGAAACCCUGACCGAGCGACGCCGCGUGGAGGAAGAAGGCCCUCGGGUCGUAAACUCCUUUUGGCAGGGAAGAAACUGCAUCCGACAAAUAAUCGGAUGUUUUGACGGUACCUGCAGAAGAAGCACCGGCUAACUCCGUGCCAGCAGUCGCGGUAAUACGGGGGGUGCAAACGUUGUUCGGAAUCACUGGGCGUAAAGAGCGCGUAGGCGGUCGGGUAAGUGGGAUGUGAAAUCCACCGGCUCAACCGGUGAACUGCAUCUCAUACUGCUCGGCUUGAGGGCAGCAGAGGAGAGGGGAAUUCUCGGUGUAGCGGUGAAAUGCGUAGAUAUCGAGAGGAACACCAGUGGCGAAGGCGCCUCUCUGGGCUGUACCUGACGCUGAGGCGCGAAAGCUAGGGGAGCGAACAGGAUUAGAUACCCUGGUAGUCCUAGCCGUAAACGGUGGGCACUAGGUGUAGGAGGUAUCGACCCCUCCUGUGCCGC